GUUUCAUCCAGAUAGUUCCUUGGGGACAGGGUCAGGGAAGAAGCCCUACCCAGAGGGCCACUGGAGAGGAUCCAGGCCCGCAGCCCUCACCCCAGUCCCCUGCUUCCCCCAUGUCAGCCCCCAGCCCUGCAGACAACCCUCGAAGAUCCCUGUGGGGGAAGCUCAUUUGAUGAGUGUUCCUAACUAGCUUUUGGGGGUGCGUGUUCAGGUGCCACAGCAUUGGUGCGGCAGAAGUAGGAUUCUUCAGGAGUGAGGAAGGAACGGGUGUUGGUGGGUCACUGCAGCAGGUCGGGAGGGGAGGGUGGCCGGGCCUAGUGCAGGGUACUUGGUGCAGAUGCAGAAGCUCAGGCUCCCAGCAUAGGUUUGUUGUGGCACCAGGUAGAGGUGAGUGUCGUCCUUCAGAUGCAUCUGUCCCAGGCAGUUGUGGAGGCCACGUGACUUUCUCUGUGCCUUGUUCAUGCACUGCAGUGACACAGUUUCUUUUACAGAGAAGGAACUUCAUGCUGGCUUUCCAGGCAGCUGAAAGUGUCGGCAUCAAAUCCACACUGGACAUUAAUGAAAUGGUACGGACUGAACGACCCGAUUGGCAGAACGUGAUGCUGUAUGUGACGGCGAUCUACAAGUACUUUGAGACCUGAGCAUGCCGGGAGGAGCCGCCCCAAUAGCGGGGGUACCCCUCCACAGCGACCGAGCGACACCGACGCCAUUAGCUACGCACCCCUGUAAAGCUUCCAGCAACUCUGGGCUGCCCCACAGCGUGUGAGCCU
rnacentral:sRNA from 1 species